GUCAGCCUGGAGCCCGCUUUGGAUCCUCUGCCCCCUCUCUCCCUGCCCCUCCCCCGCUUACACACACACAUUGUCUGUCUCUCUCUCAAAAAUAAAGAAACAUUAAAAAAGAAGGAACUAUAACCCCAAAGGACUGCUGUGAUUUGCUCUGUGGCUGCCGCCCAGUGGAAUUUAACAAGAAGAAGAACUUCAUGGUUUAUUUGCUGUAAUGGAUUGUCUAGUAUCCUCCCCAAAUCCCUGUUCACCCAGAAUCUUAGAAUGUGCCAUUAUUUGGAAGUAGAGUCUUUGCAGAUAUAAUUUAAGUAAGGUGAGGUCACACCAGAUUAGGGUAGACCUGAAGUCCAGUGACUGGCAUCCUCAUGAGAAGAAGAAAGGGUAGACAGAGGCACACAGGGAAGAAAGCCGUAUGAAGGUGGAAGCAGAGAUUGGAAUGAUGUGUCCACAAGCCAAGGGACACCACAGAUUUCCGGGAGCUAUCAGAAGCUACGAGAAAAGCAUGGAACAAAUUCUCCCCCUGAGCCGCCAGAAGGAAUCAACCCUGAUUUCAGGGAAAAAUGUUUCCAAAGGAGCUUGAAAAUCAUUGAAGGGAUUGAAUGUCCCUCCAGUAGCCCCCUGGGAUACAUCUAGAGGGCACUGUUGAAGACGCUGUGCUGUCUUACUCUCUGCCUCCCAUGGAUUUUUCAUCCCGUGGGAUAAGCAAAGAACACAGUAGCCGUAACAUCACGCAGGAUAAAAGAGCCAUAACAAGAGACUAACAAGGGUAAUUUGCUACGGGACACUUGACACAGCAGGAAAUGGGGGGAGCAGAAAGCGUAAGAACAGCUGGAACACCUGGAGAAAUGCUAUACUUGCACCGGACUGUGGAUUCAACAUCUUCAUUUCGUUUGCUACCUGGCAAGGGUUAGCUCAAGUUUUGAAGACGUGGAUGUACAUCAUGCUCCUAACUAAAGAAACACUUGGCCCUGCUGAAAGGAAAGAAACAUUCCUUUUCUGUUGUAUCACAUCCUAACAUAAUUGGAGAGUAUCUACUGAAGGCCUACUAUGUUCCCCUACUCAGCUAAGUGCCGUCGGAUACAUGGAAUCCAAGGACUUCUGAGAGCUGCUGAAGAAAAAUCACCACCCCUAGGUGGACUGAUGCCAUGACAAAUCAUGGUUUCCAGAAUCACCUGGACUUCCUUUGAACCCAGUUUCCCUGCAUCAGAGAAAACUCUUUCCCUUCCUGCAGUGGCUAUUCUAAAGUUUCGACGGAAUCCUCACAUCCUUUAUCUUCCUCACAUCUCAUCUGCUUUUAGCAAAUGUCCUCACUAUGAAAAUCAUGACUAUCAGCAGCCAUGUUGUGAUGAUGAGGGACAAGCAUAAGAUGGAAAGGAAACAGAUCGAAGACGUAAUGCCGAAAGCUGGGAAGAACUGGUGUCUUUAAGAACAUUUUUGAGCCACUGCGUAACAAAUUCCAAGGCUGAACUUUAAUACUUAUAUGAGAUAAUAAUAAUAGCAGGGGUGAAAUCUGCUGGUGUUUAAAAGCUACCACACUUUGAGAAGUGGCCAGUUUUUUUCUUUUUUCUUUUUCCUUUUCCACAGCAGCACUUGUCAGAGAUUGAAAAACAAUAGAUCAGUGAGGAGGGUCAUUAAGUAGGAAGAGGUGGGGAAUUAUUUCCUAACAAUCAGGAUUGAAUAUCAGCAAUCUUGUUGUUGCUGUUCUCACUACACUGAGCGCCUGAUGUAUGCAUUACUAUUGAAUGUGAACUAAUUAUUCUGGCCUUUAUGUCCACGAGUAUAGAAAUUUCCAGAAGGAAAACAUGGUGAUAAAGUGUUCUGCUAACCUCAAAGUCUUCCACAACAUGUAUUAGACUCCUAGCCCGAUCAACUCUGCUAUAUCUGCUUCUUCAAAGGAGCUUCUUGCAAGUGAAAGGGCGGGCCUACGCCAGCCGACUCCAUCUUGUUCUGUGUCCUUCACCUUGACCACACCUCCUCCCCUCGAGUAAACCCUCCCUCACCUGCCGGACCCUUCCCCAGGACC